AUCGAACGCUGGCGGCGUGCCUAAUACAUGCAAGUAGAACGCAGUUGCGAACGGGUGAGUAACGCGUAGGUAACUGCCUCAUUGCGGGGGAUAACUAUUGGAAACGAUAGUUAAUACCGCAUACUGUGAGAUGGACCUGCGUUGGAUUAGCUAGUUGGUGGGGCAAAGGCUCACCAAGGCGGCGAUACAUAAUCGACCUGGGAGGGUGAACGGGCAAACUGGGACUGAGACACGGGCCAGACUCCUUCGGGAGGGAGCAGUAGGGGAUCAUCGGCAAUGGACGGAAAGCUGGCCGAGGAACGGCGCGUGAGUUAAGAAGGUUUUCGGGUCGUAAAACUCUGUUGUUCGAGGAGCGGUAACUGAACAGAAAGGAACGGCUAACUACGUGCCAGCAGCCGCGGUAAUAC
rnacentral:rRNA from 1 species